GACAGAGGGUGCGAACGUUGUUCGGAAUUACUGGGCGUAAAGCGCGUGUAGGCGGCUUGGCAAGUCGGAUGUGAAAGCCCGGGGCUCAACCCCGGAAGUGCACUCGAAACUGCCGAGCUGGAGUCCCGGAGAGGAAGGCGGAAUUCUCGGUGUAGAGGUGAAAUUCGUAGAUAUCGAGAGGAACACCUGUGGCGAAGGCGGCCUUCUGGACGGUGACUGACGCUGAGACGCGAAAGCGUGGGGAGCAAACAGG
rnacentral:rRNA from 1 species